UCAGAGCCAAGUUGGGCAGAACUCUAAGG
rnacentral:piRNA from 1 species